GAUACAAAAGAUUUUUCAGGGAGGCCUAAUGAUGAUGUCACUGAGAACUGCCAUGUCCUUAGCUGCUGAGCAGCGUUCCUUUCAUUGACCAGAUUCGAGGGUGUCCUUUCCAGGAGAGUCUCCUAAUGCACAGUUGAAACCUUUACAUACUCCAUCUCUCUAAACCUAGAGACUUCUCUCUGCUUCACUAGUAGUUAAAAGCUCUGAAUGGAGAAAGUUAGUCAGGGUCUUGGCAUGGGUAGAAAACAUUUAGGAACAUGGAAUAUAGGAGAUCUUCUAGAUAAUACUUAUAUCCCCAGGUUCAUACCUGUGACUCAGUUCAACAUUCUAAGUAUUCUGUUUCCCAAAGGCCAGUAUUUUCCCUACAGACGUUUAAUUGAAUUAAUAUUGUAUUUCAAUUUCUUAUUGAAAAUUCGUUGAUAGGGGACUUUGAAAAUAUUCCUCAAUGUGUACUCAAAAAUUCUGUUUUCCAAUUCCAUUUUCUGCAAAGAUUUUGGCAACAAAGGGGGCCCAACUAUAGAGUAAGCAUAACAGUGUAAAUAGUGUAUACCUAAUUCAAAUUACAAAUUCCCAAAUCCUUAUUUUAACAAAAAAUUACCAGAUAACAGAAAAGCAAAGCACAACAUGGACUAUUGAAUUCGGUUCUCUAGUCCCAUUUGAUAUCAGUUCUGCAAUAUCUACCUUCCUGAGUUUCAUUCCCAUACUUGAGGGUUUUGAGUAUUUUACCAUGAUUAGUUAUUAAGGCCAAACAUAAGAUAUAGGAGGCUGGGCAUCUAGAGGAAUGACUUGAGGACCAGUGACGCCUCAAUUUCAGAAGUUUCAAAAAACAGGAUGGAGUCUAUUUGGUGUUGCCAUUUGUGGAUUCUACAGUCUUGACCUAGAUAUGCAGAACCCAUGUCAAAAUUCCAGCUAAACUCAGAGCUGUAGGAGCCACCAAAAGUACAUACAUAUACAUCAGCCACCAAAACUAGACAAGAUUGAUGAAGGUAAGUGCAUUCUUCCAGGAAUCAGAUAUAGAUAUUUCCUGAGAGACACAACUAGAUUAUGCCAAAUACAGAAGUGAAUGCUAGUGGCAAACCAGUGAACUGAAAAUGGACUUCUUGUUUGUAGAUUUUCAGGAAAGAUUACAAGAGCUGAAGGGGCUUUAACACCAUAAGAACGACAAUGCUAAUGAACCAGAGCUUUCUGAUACUAGACCUAUGUUCAAGAAUGUACAUGGACAGAGUUAUGGCUCCAACUGCAUAUGUGGAAGAGGAUGGACUUGGAACCACUUGAAGCAGGGAAGUCCAGAUGCUUCUGACACGCUCCGAGCUCCGAGCUCCUGAUCCCAUGUGUGGAAGGCUCAGAUCAAUUCUAUCUCUUCAAGACAGGAGGGUAGCAUUAUUGUCCUCUGCAAGACUCAACGGAGCAGCCGACUGACACAGGUGCACAGACAUACGGCCAAAUAUCGAAUGGAGCUCAGUGAGUCUCACUGAAGGGCUGAGGGAAGGGCAGACAGAGACAGAGGAGCAAAAUGAUCUUCAGGUGGGGUCACUAAACCAGUCGCUUGUCUGUGGAUCCUGUUCUCCUACCCGGGCUGCGUUUUCAGGACCUGGUGGGAGACGAUGAAUCUAGUUGAGUAGAGACUUGAUGUGCCAGGGGAGAGGGUGAACCCAGAGGGGUCCUCCACUCUCUCAGAUAAGAAGGGGAGAGGAUAGAAGGAGGGAGUAUAAAUGGUAGGAGCCUGGAGGAGUGUGGUUCCAGGGCAGCAUUCAGAAUGCUACCUGGUGAAUAGAUGCAACCAUUCUAGCAAGGGACUCAGGCAUGACAUCACUGGGAAGGGGGCGGGACAUCAUG